GCCUGGCUAGCUCAGUCAGUAGAGAAUGAGACUCUUAAUUUCAGGGUCGUGGAUUUGAGCCCCAUGUUGGGUC
rnacentral:tRNA from 1 species